GACGAACGCUGGCGGCGUGCUUAACACAUGCAAGUCGAACGGAAAGGCCCUGCUUUUGUGGGGUGCUCGAGUGGCGAACGGGUGAGUAACACGUGAGUAACCUGCCCCUGACUUUGGGAUAACUUCAGGAAACUGGGGCUAAUACCGGAUAGGAGCUCCUGCUGCAUGGUGGGGGUUGGAAAGUUUCGGCGGUUGGGGAUGGACUCGCGGCUUAUCAGCUUGUUGGUGGGGUAGUGGCUUACCAAGGCUUUGACGGGUAGCCGGCCUGAGAGGGUGACCGGCCACAUUGGGACUGAGAUACGGCCCAGACUCCUACGGGAGGCAGCGGUGGGAAAUAUUGCACAAUGGGCGGAAGCCUGAUGCAGCAACGCCGCGUGCGGGAUGACGGCCUUCGGGUUGUAAACCGCUUUCGCCUGUGACGAAGCGUGAGUGACGGUAAUGGGUAAAGAAGCACCGGCUAACUACGUG
rnacentral:rRNA from 1 species